GAUGCACACUACCGCAAAACGCCUUCCCCCACGGCUAACGGACACGGCUACCUUCAAGCGCUUAUGAGGCGCAUUCGUUUAAAGAUUUCAGACCUUCAAGUAAGAUCAACCAAGAAACUUCAGUCGAAAUUCGUGCAGUAUCUCAAAAAACUUUACCUUGAGCAACAAUCGGCUGCCCCGG